UUUCUUUGUUGCACCUAAGUGAAAGGAUCAUUUGCAAGCUCAUGUAACGCGGAGUGGCGGACCUGUCCUCAUCAUGGUCCCAAGACAAUAAACCAACGACAGGAUCGAUGCUGGAGACGAGAAGCAAGUACAGGGAGUGAACAUUUACUGGAGAACGGACAUCAAACCAAAACAACAACAGUGUCUGGACAGGGGGAACAAAAUGACAUAACUACAAUAAUGCUGACACGGGGAACCAACUGAAGAACAGACCGAUAUAGAAGGGCAAUCAACAAAGUAAUGGAGCCCAGAUAGACUCUGACACGGUGUGAAAGGAGGGCCGGGACAACUGUUAAAGACUCCAGCCACC
ensembl:lncRNA